CAAGGAGGGCGCCGGGCAGCCGUGCGGAGGCGGUGCGGAGCCGCCCGGGGCGCGCCGGUCCCCACAGCGUGACGGUGGCAAGUUACGGACCCAGGUCUCCCCAUUUGUAAAAGCGGUUAGGAAGCCCAGGCCCAGAAUGCAGGCGACUUGCCCAGUUUCAGGUGUACAACAUAAUCAUUCAGUGAUUACAUACGUCACAAAACGCUCACCUCGGAGCCUGGGGGCCACGGGGCUUUCAGCUGCGCCAAGAAGGCGAAAAUCCUAUCCCCGCAGCACCCCUUCCCGCCUUCGGUGACAUGAGUUACUGCUGUCGGCGGUUCCAGGGAUCGCUCAACGUCACAGUGACAAGUAAGCUCUCCGUCUCCUCCUUCUGCCAUCCUCACUGUGUCCACGAUGUCUUCUCCCCUGGUCACAAGGUACCAGCCACUGUUCCGGGCAUCGCACGUAGACCUGGCGAGGUCCGGUCCAAGUAGUGGUGUUUCCUCCACCGCGAUUUCUUUUAGGAGGAGAAACGCCUUUCUCCCCCCACAGACUCCCCCCAAAGAGACCCUUAGCCAGACUUGAGCACACUCAUAACUGAUCCGAUCUUUGGAAAGAAUGCUGGAGGUCACCGUGAUUGAUUUAGUCUCUAGAACUGAGGUUGGGAAAGGGUGAGCACCUGAAGAAUGUCAGUCCUCUGCCAUCGAGGCAGAAGGGCGCAGGGAUGAUUUUCGAUUAGGUGACCGGUAGUACCUGCCACAGUGGCCCACACGACAAACUCCGGGGAAGGUUGGGUGGGCUGCAAGCUCUGUGUGUGCCUAUUAGUCAGAUGGACUCCUAGGCUGCUUUAAUAAGAGAGUAACAUCCAGAGCAAGAGAGAGAGUGGUCAUUGUGUCUCUGUGCUGGCUGGGCCACACACGGUGUGUCAAGUCCCAGGGGAAGAAGUAAGCGGAAGCUCUUACAGAAAAGGGAGUGGGAUGGGUGGGUGUCUAGCACACUGUCAUGGGAAGCAGGGCUGAAAGAACAGGGCAUUGAACCGGGAGAACACUGGGAGACACCUUUCCAUAUGGGAAGCCAUCCUGAAUCCUAGAGAGAUGCCCACAACAGAGGGAAUCACUUCAUGUGGUUCUGGAGGGCACAGCCAGACCUGGAAGCAGUUCUUAUCUCAAUAGAAGGAAGACAUUUAUGGUCACUAGAGGUGCUGCUCAGUGAACGAAGGGGCUGCCUCAGAGGGUGAGGGUCCUGUAAAUGGAGGCUCUAUGACCUGCUGGGAAGCCACUGAGGCAGUUCUUGCUUUGGUAGGGAAGUUGGAUUAGAGGCCUUCCAGGCAUGGGGGUGCAGUGGAAAGGGCCUGAGUUUAGGAGUCAGAGGGUCCUGGAUAGGCUUUGCCGCUUAGUAGCUGUGUGACUUUGGGUAAAUCACUUAACCUCUCUGAGUCUCACCUUUCUCAUCUGCCAAACUGAGGGCAACAGUACCUGCCUCACAGGGUGGUUGUAAGUUCUGUAAAGUCUGUGGCACAUAGUAGAUACUCAAGGAUGAACGGACCCUUAAUUCUUUGGGGUCUCCUUUACCUUUGGAGAGAAGCUGGCAAGGAUACCCGCUGUACCAUACCAAAAGUGUCCUUAGAGCUUUUUUUGCCCUGGAUGAGGCAGAUGG